rnacentral:lncRNA from 1 species
ACCCCGUUGGGGGUCACAUAUCAGAUAUCCUGCAUACAUACCAGAUAUUUACAUUGUGAUUCAUAACAGCAGCAAAUGUACUGUAUGAAGUAGUAAUAAAAUAAUGUUAUGGCUGGGGGUCACCACAACAUGAGGAACUGUAUUAAAAGGCUACAGCAUUAGGAAGGUUGAGGACCACUGCUCUAGAGACUGUUGGGCUUCUAGCUGGGUUUUGUGGCUGCUCGUAGGUUCCGGGUCGCAUGAUCUAACAGUCAACUCCUCACUUUGGAUGUCCUUUCUGAUCCAGAAGACAUCAGAGGCCAUACUUAGUGAAUUGAACUAGGUAUCAUGUAAGAAGUGGCGGAGAAAGCCUAGAGUCUCAGUGAAUGUGUAUUGUUGACAUCAGAUAAAGACAUGUUGUCACAGACCUCAGAAUCUCAGACCUAUGGAGAAAAUGGCAAUGUCUCCUCUAAGGGGAGAGGCUCAGAGGAAAAUGGCAAAGCCUUCCUCUGGACCAAAUGUAGAUAUUGAGAGUGUGCACAGGAAAUGUCCACUGUAGCUUUCUCUCCCUGGAUAUUUAUAGUCUGAAGACUGUUCCCCUAUAAAGACCAUUCCUACUAAGAUUAGGUAAACCUGUCUACUUGAUCCAGCUGUAUACCAUACACCCUGUCUCCUUUGUUUAUCUGUACCUACUAACCCCACUUCCUUGUUCAGCCAUAUGCACUCACCCUGCCUCUCUGUUUAUAUAAUAAAAACAUGUUUUCAUU